UCAGAGUAUUUUAUUCAGAAA
ensembl:piRNA 21ur-2068 ncRNA